rnacentral:misc_RNA from 1 species
AUUUUUGUUUUUCUCCGUUUGUUUAUUUUAGCCCACAAGUUCCCCCAUAUAAAAGCUGCCACAUUGUCAUGCCAGAGUCAUUAUUACCCAGCAGACCAGCAGUGAGACAACUUAACAUCAUAUACAUGUAGUCAUGUAUUUCCUCCUACCUGGAGAGUGUCUUCCUAGCUGUUUCUUUUGUCUGCUAGUCCAGUCAUUGGUUUUUAGUUCAUUCCUGUGCUUUUAGAGUCAUUUCCUUUAGUGCUGUGUGGGUUUCUCCUUUUUUUCUUCUUUGGGUUUUAUUAUUUUAACUUAGUUUUUUUUAUCAAAUUGUUAAUUUUUUUAUCCCUGGCAAAUUCUUUUGAGUGUUUUAUACGUUGUUGAUCCUGAUUGAGAUUUUUUGCCUUGAAGUAUUUCUGGAAACUAGUUUUUGCGCUUAAGGAUAGAAAUUGUUUUUUUUGUUUGUUGGAAGUUUUUUUUUUGAGACUAAAUUAAAUUUUGUGAGAAGUCUAUUUUCGUUUCCUUGAUUCCUUUUUC